CCUGAUUGUAUCAUUUGUUUUUAUAGAAUUCGAGUUUAUUGGAGCAAAAAAGGAAUCUAUUAAUGAUUGCGAUGUUGUCAUUGUUGAUCAUGAUUUAGAAAAUUAGAAAACUCAAAUUACUGAUACGCCAGAAAAACCAACAAGAAGAACCUGAAGACUAUAUCUCGUGUGGAAAGUUCAUUCAGUCGAGCUUUGGUUCAUAUAAUGGGCCAUUCCAUUUAAUAUCCCCCCCCCCUAUUGAGGGGUCCCUUCAUAAUCCCCUUAGGAUAUAAACAUUUUAGAACCCCCUUGGAUGUGAUUUUUGAAAGUUACCC